AAACGACUCUCGGCAACGGAUAUCUCGGCUCACGCAUCGAUGAAGAACGUAGCAAAAUGCGAUACUUGGUGUGAAUUGCAGAAUCCCGUGAACCAUCGAGUUUUUGAACGCAAGUUGCGCCCGAAGCCUUUUGGUCGAGGGCACGUCUGCCUGGGCGUCACRCA
rnacentral:rRNA from 1 species